UCUACGGGUGGCAGCAGUGAGGAAUAUUGGUCAAUGGGCUUACGCCUGAACCAGCCAAGUCGCGUGAGGGAAGACUGCCCUAUGGGUUGUAAACCUCUUUUGUCAGGGAGCAACGCCGGCUACGUGUAGCCGGCCUGAGAGUACCUGCAGAAAAAGCAUCGGCUAACUCCGUGCCAGCAGACGCUGUAAUACGGAUGAUUCGAGCGUUAUCCGGAUUUCUUGGGUGUAAAGGGUGCGGAGGCUGAAUGCCAAGUCAGCGGUAGAAUCGCGGGGCUCAACCUCGCUCCGCCGUUGAAACUGGCGUUCUUGAGUGGGCGAGAAGUAUGCGGAUGGCGUGGUGUAGCGGUGCAAUG
rnacentral:rRNA from 1 species